AUAUUUUGUUUUGUUGGAGCAUGGUAAUUUGAGUUGCUUCGAUGUCAAGUGGUGAUUUUCUAUCUUUUUUAAGCAAUGUUCUCAUAUUUUUAUGGGAAUGCUAAUUCUUUUGCCUAAUCAAGUUGUCUUAUCAAUUCUUUUCAAACCGGAGUCGUCGUGUCAACUCUUUUCAACUGAAGUGCUUCUAUUCAAGUUAAUUCAAUCCUCUCCAAUAUUUGCAAGAUCAAUC
rnacentral:lncRNA from 1 species